GUGAAUCAUCAAAUUUUUGAACGCAAAUUGCACUCUCCUCGGAGAGUAUGCCUGUUUGAGGGUCAGCCUAUAAAAAAUCGGCAUCGUUGCUGUUUCGCGUUGGCGUUCGUCGGAAAUUGGGUUAUCUUAAAUCCUUUUGGGUUUUAAGCGGCUUAAAAUUUUCUUUUUGGUUCCAUGAACGUUUCUAAGAUUUAUUUCUUUACACGUUUAAGGUAUCGAUUUUUAUUAGACGUGACCAUCAUAUCGAAUCGCGUCCAUAAUCU
rnacentral:misc_RNA from 1 species